ensembl:lncRNA
CCAACAUGUUUUGACACACGAAGGGCGCUUACUUCUUGUUUCUUGCUCACACAAGAAGACGGGGAAUCUAGCUCAUUAACUAUUGAUGCACUGCCUUUUUAACCUUUUAGGGUUUGAAAGAUAUAACCGCUUUUAUUGUUUUCUAUUCAAUUUUUGUAAACCUUUUCGCUUUUUUUAUAUAAAUAAAAAUUCUCCUUUUUGGGGAACAAAAGACCAUCUGUUUCCGGGGGAAUUCUUUCCACUGAGGGGCCUCCUCCAUUUAGCAGAAUGACAAGAACACCGCUUCGAAACCUGCAGACACCGACUGGUCCGGCACCCCAUAAAAACCCAGAGGGACCAAGUCCACAACGCGCAUGUAGACUGGUUGGGUGAACUCCCAGGACCCUCCAGUAGUCUUGCGAGAGUAAAGAGGUGGUCCACUGUUCCACGACCGGGACAGAAUCCGCACUGCUCCUCUUGAUUCCAGCCGCCUUGGCACCAGGAAGCUUUUUGACCACCUUAGCAACUCCUGCCAGGGGUACGGACACUCACUAGGUCUUUUCACAGCUUACAGCUCUGCUCCUCUCUUCCCCAGAGUGUCCAAGACAUGCGGCUGCAGAUCAGACGUACAAUUACAAGAGCGAUCAUUGAUCUCUGGUCUAAGAUGCUCCGGUACCAGGUACACUUAUGAGUAGGGUUGGGUACCGAAAACCGAUAUUUAACGUACUGAAAUACAACGCAGAUUUCUGUGCCAGAGCCAAUUGAAAAACUU